UAAAGAUUCAUCGCUGAUAGAUAGGCAUGCGUUCCAUUAGGCAGUUGGCGGGGUAACGGCCCACCAAACCGACGAUGGAUAGGGGUUCUGAGAGGAAGGUCCCCCACAUUGGUACUGAGACACGGACCAAACUCCUACGGGAGGCAGCAGUGAGGAAUAUUGGUCAAUGGGCGCGAGCCUGAACCAGCCAAGUCGCGUGAGGGAUGAAGGUUCUAUGGAUCGUAAACCUCUUUUAUAAGGGAAUAAAGUGUGGGACGUGUCCUAUUUUGUAUGUACCUUAUGAAUAAGGAUCGGCUAACUCCGUGCCAGCAGCCGCGGUGAUACGGAGGAUCCGAGCGUUAUCCGGAUUUAUUGGGUUUAAAGGGUGCGUAGGCGGCCUUUUAAGUCAGCGGUGAAAGUCUGUGGCUCAACCAUAGAAUUGCCGUUGAAACUGGGGGGCUUGAGUAUGUUUGAGGCAGGCGGAAUGCGUGGUGUAGCGGUGAAAUGCUUAGAUAUCACGCAGAACCCCGAUUGCGAAGGCAGCCUGCCAAGCCAUGACUGACGCUGAUGCACGAAAGCGUGGGGAUCAAACAGGAUUAGAUACCCUGGUAGUCCACGCAGUAAACGAUGAUCACUAGCUGUUUGCGAUACAGUGUAA
rnacentral:rRNA from 1 species